CCCUACGGCCAUACCACCCUGAACACUCCCAAUCUCGUCUGAUCUCAGAAGUUAAGCAGGGUCUGGCCAGGUUAGUACUUGGAGGAGAGUGUUAAGUCUUGUCAAUC
rnacentral:rRNA from 1 species